UAAACUAGGUUUCUCAAGCUCGAAGUCAAUCCACCACUAUCUCAUACUAUACACACCCCAUAUCCUCUACCCCUUUGACCAUUCAAAACAUCCGCCAUGUCGCGUGUAACGAUCUUUCAGAGCCAGCUGCCGGCGUGCAACCGCCUCAAGACGCCGUACGAGUCGGAGCUGAUUGCGACGGUCAAGAAGCUGACGACACCGGGCAAGGGCCUCCUGGCGGCGGAUGAGUCGAUCGGCUCGUGCACGAAGCGGUUCGAGCCGAUUGGGCUGAGCAACACGGAGGAGCACCGCCGGCAGUACCGCGCGCUGAUGCUGGAGGCGGAGGGCUUCGAGCAGUACAUCAGCGGCGUCAUCCUGCACGAAGAGACGGUUGGCCAGAAAGCGAGCAACGGGCAGACGUUCCCAGAGUACCUGACGGCGCGCGGUGUUGUGCCUGGGAUCAAGACGGACAUGGGACUGUGUCCGCUGCUCGAGGGCGCAGAAGGGGAACAGAUGACGGAGGGCCUGGACGGCUACGUGAAGCGCGCGUCUGCCUACUACAAGAAGGGAUGCCGCUUCUGCAAGUGGCGCAACGUGUACAAGAUCCAAAACGGAACGGUGUCGGAGUCCGCAGUGCGCUUCAACGCGGAGACGCUCGCGCGCUACGCGAUCCUGUCGCAGAUAAGCGGGCUUGUGCCGAUCGUGGAACCGGAAGUGAUGAUCGACGGCAAGCACGAUAUCGACACCUGCCAGCGCGUGUCAGAGCACGUGUGGCGCGAGGUGGUGGCGGCGCUGCAGCGCCACGGCGUUAUUUGGGAGGGUUGCCUGCUGAAGCCGAACAUGGUGGUUCCCGGCGCCGAGUCCGGCCAGACGGCGGCACCGGCACAGGUGGCGCACUACACGGUGAUGACGCUUGCGCGCACGAUGCCGGCGAUGCUACCUGGCGUGAUGUUCCUGUCCGGUGGGCUGAGCGAGGUCCAGGCGAGCGAGUACCUGAACGCGAUUAACAACAGCCCGCUGCCACGGCCUUAUUUCCUGAGUUUCUCGUACGCGCGCGCGCUUCAAUCUUCUGCGUUGAAGGCGUGGGGUGGAAAGGACUCCGGCGUCGCUGCCGGACGCCGCGCUUUCUUGCACCGCGCGCGCAUGAACUCGAUGGCGCAGCUUGGCAAGUACAAGCGCGCCGACGACGACGCCUCCUCCUCGUCCCUGUACGUCAAAGGCAACACCUAUUAAAACCCUUUUGCGCGUCAUGGUCGAGAUGACUGGCAUGGCUGCGCGUCUCUCUUGUGUGAAUCGAGGGCAUUGAAAAGAGGGGUCUCUCGUUUCCUUUUUCCCUUGCAAGCGCAUCCCAUGCAGUGCCAUUUUCGUGUUGACGGAGGCUCUCUCAGGCGGCUGCCGCGACUUUCGAGUUCGGAUGUAAAGGGCUCAAACGUGCCUCUCCUCAUCUCACGCAAUGACGACAGCCUGUCGGCUAUCGACUGAGUGGGAGGAUGCGGGCGCGCGCGCCGUAACUUCUCUUUAUCUUUGUGGGCAUUCCAAAGUACGCUGCACGAUUGCCAUGGAGAGCGUAGUGCCCUACGCGGCAUUCAUCUCGCCAUUCUCCUGCCCUCCCUCCCUUCACAAACAUGAAAAG
rnacentral:misc_RNA from 1 species